GGUCCGGUAGCUUAGUUGGUUAAAGCGCUCGACUCAUAAUCGAAGGAUCGUGGGUUCAAGUCCCACCCGGACCA
rnacentral:tRNA from 1 species